ensembl:snRNA U6 U6 spliceosomal RNA
AUGCUCACUUUGGUAGCAUAUAUGCUAAAAUCAAAGUGAUAAAGAGAAGAUUAGCAUGGACCCUGCACGAGGAUGGCACAAAAGUUUGUGAAACAUUUAAUAUUUUU